CGGAGCUGGAGCUGUUCUUCUUCAGACACUCGUAUUUACUGAUACCAAGCUUAUCUUUGGUUUCUCAGCAAAGGCAGAUAAGGUGAGGGAAAUAUUUGUAGGCAGAGAUUUCUGGAAUUUCCCCACAGUGUUGAAAUAGCCCCGAGAGUUCAAGAAGGCCAUAUUUGGACAAUGAUAAAUGUUUUAUCUACAGGAUGGUGCGCCCCAGGAAAUCAAGAAACAACCACCUCUCCUCUCUCCCAUCACCUUACAAACCCAAGACCUGGCACACUGGGAAAAAUAAAAACAGAACCGGGCAAGAGAUUCUCAACGGUCCGUGAACUCCCGGUAGGAACUUGGCUAAAUAGAGUUGUUUCGGGUACAUGACAACUUGGCCUCUUCUGUGUUCUCCUGAAUGUAUAAUUGAUGUGGCCCAUCUGUUUCCAGUAAAGGAACUUUUGUUUUGCUUUUUGUUGUUGUUGUUGUUUCUCCGCUACUUUCAGGCAGAACGAAUGGCUUUCUCAUUAGGCAGUGUUCACGGGCUCUUAGAAGACGCAUUUAGAACAGAAAG
rnacentral:lncRNA from 1 species